AUUGAGCCCACCAAGUCACCAACUUCGUGCGAGUUCCCCCCUCACGGCACGCCGUUCCGAACCAGCAGGCGAAAAAGCCGACGAGUCGCGGGGCGGCGUGCGGCGGCGAGCCGGCGAGGCCAUCCUCACGGGGACGGCGUGGUGUUGCACGACGCGGCGCCUGAGUUCAGCGCGCGCCCACGGAGCAUAGGCGAGACCAUGUCGGUACCGGACCCCACGGAGCAUGACCGGCUGAGCGAGCUGCCCGAUGACCUCCUGCACUGCAUCCUGCAAGUCGUCACCGAACUCAGCAGCCUGUCACGACGGUGGCGGUACCUGUGGGCGACCUUGCCCUUCGUCACACUGUGGCCUGGCUACAACGUCUCUGAGAAGUUCGGGAACUUGCGGCUGCUGCUGCUCCGUGAUGGGCCUAUCAUUUUGCAAAUUGAAGAGCCUGUAUAUUGGAGAAUGGCGAGUCGCUGACUUUUAUGGUCCAUCAGCUUAUUUCCUUCCGUGCACUCCUAAUUUGGUUGCUCUUACUCUGGACCAGUGGAAGUUGUAUCAGAUACAUAAUGGGAAUACCAAUCUGGAGGCCCUGGAAAAGAAACCUAAAGUUGAGCUGAAACUGGUGUCUGCUCUGACCAGAGACCUUGAGACGCUUCUGAUCAGACUCUCGAAAGGUGAUGACAUUGGAGAAUUCCGCAAAGUGAGACGCUUGUUGAAGGAGAAGACAAAGCCUAAGGAGAUAGAGAUAGUGUGGUUUUAGACCCUUUUUUUUUCAGCAGCCAGCUUUUUUGCAGCACUAUAGUGCUACUGUUCAUCGAUCUCCCAAAUCAAGGUCUGCAUCUGGUACCUGUGCUGCCAUUCGUAACCGCAAUAGUGUCUUACUUCGGAGUGUCUGUACUUGGUUAUUAGCACUGUGCUAAAUUAUCAGGAUAUUGUCAUGUGCUUUAUUUAGGGUAUCGAUCAACCUAUUGAUCAGUAUUAAUUUUAGUUUAUGGGCUUGAUGUACUUUAAUCUCUUGCGUAUUUGACUCGACUCUGUUUGGACCAGUUAAGUGAGCUGAGGUCAAGCACAUGCACUCCCGGUCCCCACCAGGAGCCGGUUACUAGGGGCGGUAUGCUCGAUCACUUGCUGUUCUGAAACGGAGCAGAGCCACG